rnacentral:misc_RNA from 1 species
GAUGAAGAACGUAGCGAAAUGCGAUAAGUAAUGUGAAUUGCAGAAUUCAGUGAAUCAUCGAAUCUUUGAACGCACCUUGCGCUCCUUGGUAUUCCGAGGAGCAUGCCUGUUUGAGUGUCAUUUCAACCAUCAAGCCCCAGGCUUGCGUUGGAGCCCUGCGGCUGCCGCAGCCUCCUAAAAGCAGUGGCGGGCUCGCUAUCACACCGAGUGCAGUAGAUUACUCUUCGCUCAGGGCGUGCAGCGGGUUCCGGCCGUGAAACCCCCUACUUUUAAAGGUUGACCUCGGAUCAGGUAGGAAUACCCGCUGAACUUAAGCAUAUCAAUAAGCGGAGGA